rnacentral:rRNA from 1 species
AUUGAACGCUGGCGGCAGGCCUAACACAUGCAAGUCGAGCGGUAACACAGGGAGCUUGCUCCUGGGUGACGAGCGGCGGACGGGUGAGUAAUGUCUGGGAAACUGCCUGAUGGAGGGGGAUAACUACUGGAAACGGUAGCUAAUACCCCAUAACGUCGCAAGACCAAAGAGGGGGACCUUCGGGCCUCUUGCCAUCAGAUGUGCCCAGAUGGGAUUAGCUAGUAGGUGGGGUAACGGCUCACCUAGGCGACGAGCCCUAGCUGGUCUGAGAGGAUGACCAGCCACACUGGAACUGAGACACGGUCCAGACUCCUACGGGAGGCAGCAGUGGGGAAUAUUGCACAAUGGGCGCAAGCCUGAUGCAGCCAUGCCGCGUGUAUGAAGAAGGCCUUCGGGUUGUAAAGUACUUUCAGCGGGGAGGAAGGCGUUGUGGUUAAUAACCACAGCGAUUGACGUUACCCGCAGAAGAAGCACCGGCUAACUCCGUGCCAGCCGCCGCCGUAA